rnacentral:rRNA from 1 species
GUGUGACUGCGUACCUUUUGUAUAAUGGGUCAGCGACUUAUAUUCUGUAGCAAGGUUAACCGAAUAGGGGAGCCGAAGGGAAACCGAGUCUUAACUGGGCGUUAAGUUGCAGGGUAUAGACCCGAAACCCGGUGAUCUAGCCAUGGGCAGGUUGAAGGUUGGGUAACACUAACUGGAGGACCGAACCGACUAAUGUUGAAAAAUUAGCGGAUGACUUGUGGCUGGGGGUGAAAGGCCAAUCAAACCGGGAGAUAGCUGGUUCUCCCCGAAAGCUAUUUAGGUAGCGCCUCGUGAAUUCAUCUCCGGGGGUAGAGCACUGUUUCGGCAAGGGGGUCAUCCCGACUUACCAACCCGAUGCAAACUGCGAAUACCGGAGAAUGUUAUCACGGGAGACACACGGCGGGUGCUAACGUCCGUCGUGAAGAGGGAAACAACCCAGACCGCCAGCUAAGGUCCCAAAGUCAUGGUUAAGUGGGAAACGAUGUGGGAAGGCCCAGACAGCCAGGAUGUUGGCUUAGAAGCAGCCAUCAUUUAAAGAAAGCGUAAUAGCUCACUGGUCGAGUCGGCCUGCGCGGAAGAUGUAACGGGGCUAAACCAUGCACCGAAGCUGCGGCAGCGACGCUUAUGCGUUGUUGGGUAGGGGAGCGUUCUGUAAGCCUGCGAAGGUGUGCUGUGAGGCAUGCUGGAGGUAUCAGAAGUGCGAAUGCUGACAUAAGUAACGAUAAAGCGGGUGAAAAGCCCGCUCGCCGGAAGACCAAGGGUUCCUGUCCAACGUUAAUCGGGGCAGGGUGAGUCGACCCCUAAGGCGAGGCCGAAAGGCGUAGUCGAUGGGAAACAGGUUAAUAUUCCUGUACUUGGUGUUACUGCGAAGGGGGGACGGAGAAGGCUAUGUUGGCCGGGCGACGGUUGUCCCGGUUUAAGCGUGUAGGCUGGUUUUCCAGGCAAAUCCGGAAAAUCAAGGCUGAGGCGUGAUGACGAGGCACUACGGUGCUGAAGCAACAAAUGCCCUGCUUCCAGGAAAAGCCUCUAAGCAUCAGGUAACAUCAAAUCGUACCCCAAACCGACACAGGUGGUCAGGUAGAGAAUACCAAGGCGCUUGAGAGAACUCGGGUGAAGGAACUAGGCAAAAUGGUGCCGUAACUUCGGGAGAAGGCACGCUGAUAUGUAGGUGAAGUCCCUUGCGGAUGGAGCUGAAAUCAGUCGAAGAUACCAGCUGGCUGCAACUGUUUAUUAAAAACACAGCACUGUGCAAACACGAAAGUGGACGUAUACGGUGUGACGCCUGCCCGGUGCCGGAAGGUUAAUUGAUGGGGUCAGCGCAAGCGAAGCUCUUGAUCGAAGCCCCGGUAAACGGCGGCCGUAACUAUAACGGUCCUAAGGUAGCGAAAUUCCUUGUCGGGUAAGUUCCGACCUGCACGAAUGGCGUAAUGAUGGCCAGGCUGUCUCCACCCGAGACUCAGUGAAAUUGAACUCGCUGUGAAGAUGCAGUGUACCCGCGGCAAGACGGAAAGACCCCGUGAACCUUUACUAUAGCUUGACACUGAACAUUGAGCCUUGAUGUGUAGGAUAGGUGGGAGGCUUUGAAGUGUGGACGCCAGUCUGCAUGGAGCCGACCUUGAAAUACCACCCUUUAAUGUUUGAUGUUCUAACGUUGACCCGUAAUCCGGGUUGCGGACAGUGUCUGGUGGGUAGUUUGACUGGGGCGGUCUCCUCCUAAAGAGUAACGGAGGAGCACGAAGGUUGGCUAAUCCUGGUCGGACAUCAGGAGGUUAGUGCAAUGGCAUAAGCCAGCUUGACUGCGAGCGUGACGGCGCGAGCAGGUGCGAAAGCAGGUCAUAGUGAUCCGGUGGUUCUGAAUGGAAGGGCCAUCGCUCAACGGAUAAAAGGUACUCCGGGGAUAACAGGCUGAUACCGCCCAAGAGUUCAUAUCGACGGCGGUGUUUGGCACCUCGAUGUCGGCUCAUCACAUCCUGGGGCUGAAGUAGGUCCCAAGGGUAUGGCUGUUCGCCAUUUAAAGUGGUACGCGAGCUGGGUUUAGAACGUCGUGAGACAGUUCGGUCCCUAUCUGCCGUGGGCGCUGGAGAAUUGAGGGGGGCUGCUCCUAGUACGAGAGGACCGGAGUGGACGCAUCACUGGUGUUCGGGUUGUCAUGCCAAUGGCACUGCCCGGUAGCUAAAUGCGGAAGAGAUAAGUGCUGAAAGCAUCUAAGCACGAAACUUGCCCCGAGAUGAGUUCU